UAAUGUUACCACUCUUAGAAUUUUAUCUAGCAGGUUUUCCAGUCUUUACUGGGAAGCUCCU
ensembl:snRNA U7 U7 small nuclear RNA